rnacentral:rRNA from 1 species
UACGUAGGGUGCAAGCGUUAAUCGGAAUUACUGGGCGUAAAGCGUGCGCAGGCGGUUCGGAAAGAAAGGUGUGAAAUCCCAGGGCUUAACCUUGGAACUGCACUUUUAACUACCGGGCUAGAGUAUGUCAGAGGGGGGUAGAAUUCCACGUGUAGCAGUGAAAUGCGUAGAGAUGCGGAGGAACACCGAUGGCGAAGGCAGCCCCCUGGGCUGACACUGACGCUCAGGCACGAAAGCGUGGGGAGCAAACAGG